UCCUACGGGAGGCAGCAGUGGGGAAUAUUGCACAAUGGGCGCAAGCCUGAUGCAGCCAUGCCGCGUGUAUGAAGAAGGCCUUCGGGUUGUAAAGUACUUUCAGCGGGGAGGAAGGCGUUGAGGUUAAAACCUCAGCGAUUGACGUACCCGCAGAGA
rnacentral:rRNA from 1 species